GCAGGGAAAUGGGAUGGAGUGAAAUAUAUGAAUAAAAUAAAUGCAUUGGUUAAUGUCCUAUUUUCAGUUUUGAGUAACUAACAAAUCGACUAAAUGAAUAAACGAGCAAUAGCGUCCUAUUCUUGGAGCAGUGUUGAAAAUGUCUCAUGAGAGAAGGAUUAUGAGUCAUCCUAUACUGGUCACCCAAGGUGUAAAGGUCAUAAAGAAACAACUUUAUUAUAAAGGGUUAAAAAAAAAAAGGAAAGGACAGGAAUUUGGGAAAAAUUUGAUUUUAGAUUACCAUAUGCAAGAUAAUAGGAAUAUUAGGGGAAAAAUUUAAUGAUACAGGAGAGAAAUGAACUUGUUGGAGACCAUGAUUAAUAAGGGUGGAAUAGGAGGAAAUUGGGACCCCUUCCCCAUCACACCCUUAUUCAUGGGAUAAUGGGAGUUUCCAUUAGUAGUAUAGGGACUUUCAGCCUUGUUCAGUGGGGAGAGAACUUUUCUUGUGAAAAAGUUGUCUGAAUACCUUUGCUUUUGUAGAAGGAGGUGCAAGAAUGUAAGGGAAUUUAUGUGUAAUGUUUAGUAUUUCCAUGCAAAGUAAAGAAGAGGCCAUUUUCUGAGAGGGAGGGUUGAGAUGUAGUAGAUAAUUUAUAAAAAGAUUAAAUACUCAUUUUCUCUGAUUAUACUCCAUUUAAUUAACAUAAUUCCUUUUUAUAUGCAAAAUUAUAAUAAAUGAUCAUAAUAAGGGACCUUCAUUAAAAUAUUCAUGAUCUUCAUUUUAUAACAUGAAGUUUUUCAGAGGGCUUCUGAAUGCAAAAUACAGAAUAUGGAAGACUCGAAAGAAAAAAAUACCUCGUGCACAAAAGAAGUUGAAGAUCACUCAAUUGUACCACCUAGUACAGAAAUAGCCUGUGGCCAAUGUCAAGAAAAAUGGUCCUGUUAUGGAGAAAACUGUUACUAUUUUUCAAAAGAAGAGAAAACUUGGAACAACAAUAAGAAGUCAUGCCAAGAUCUGGAUUCUAGUCUCGUUAAGAUUGAUGACAAAGAUGAGCAGAAAUUUAUUCAACCACAGAUCAAUUACAAUCACGGGGUUGGAUUACAGAAAAAAAGGAGCUAGUCACACCUGGAAAUGGCUGAAUGAUAACGCAGAACUUUCCAAAAACCUGGAUUUCCAGCAGAUGCCUGAUAAGCCUGAUACAAAUUGUGGAUACCUCAAGCCAACAACUAUUAUGAAUGAUGUUUGUACUAAAGCUUUUUAUUACAUUUGUGAAAGGAAGC